AUUAAACCGUUGAAUGAGAGUAGUAAACAUAUGAAAUUGAAUUCCAGAGAGCUAUUGUUGGUGGGAAUAUAGCAUUUGAAUCUAUGUUGAAUGGACUCAUGAGGGCAACCCGAAAGAGAUGUGAGUAGGCGUUGACGGAAAUCCUAACCGUUAUGAUGGAAGCAUAUGUUAGUAUGUUGAACUUGCUAUUUGGGUGGCAAAACAGAAUUAUGAACUUCUGUCCCUUUG
rnacentral:ncRNA from 1 species